UACAGAGGUGGCAAGCGUUGUUCGGAAUUACUGGGCGUAAAGCGCACGCAGGUGGCUGAGUCAGUCGAUUGUGAAAGCCCUGGGCUUAACCUGGGAAUUGCAGUCGAUACUACUCAGCUAGAGUAUGGGAGAGGGUAGUGGAAUUCCCGGUGUAGCGGUGAAAUGCGUAGAUAUCGGGAGGAACAUCAGUGGCGAAGGCGGCUACCUGGCCCAAUACUGGACACUCAGGUGCGACAGCGUGGGGAGGCAAACAGGGAUUAA
rnacentral:rRNA from 1 species